CCCGGGGAAACCCGGAUUAAUACCGGAUGAUCUCGUCCCACCGCAUGGCGGGACGAGCAAAUGCCUUUACGCUUCGGGAUGGCCUCGCGGCCUAUCAGCUUGUUGGUGAGGUAACGGCUCACCAAGGCUUCGACGGGUAGCUGGUCUGAGAGGACGAUCAGCCACACUGGGACUGAGAUACGGCCCAGACUCCUACGGGAGGCAGCAGCAGGGAAUAUUGCGCAAUGGGCGAAAGCCUGACGCAGCAACGCCGCGUGGGGGAUGAAGGCCUUCGGGUUGUAAACCCCUUUCAGGAGGGAAGAAGUUGACGGUACCUCCAAAAGAAGCCCCGGCUAACUACGUGCCAGCAGCCGCGGUAAUACGUAGGGGGCGAGCGUUGUCCGGAAUCAUUGGGCGUAAAGAGCUCGUAGGCGGCUCAGUAAGUCGGCUGUGAAAUGCCGGGGCUCAACCCCGGAACUGCAGUCGAUACUGCUGUGGCUAGAGUCCGGUAGAGGAGAGUGGAAUUCCCGGUGUAGCGGUGGAAUGCGCAGAUAUCGGGAGGAACACCAGUAGCGAAGGCGGCUCUCUGGGCCGGUACUGACGCUGAGGAGCGAAAGCGUGGGGAGCAAACAGGAUUAGAUACCCUGGUAGUCCACGCCGUAAACGUUGGGCACUAGGUGUGGCGGCCUGACCAUGACUGCCGUGCCGAAGCUAACGCAUUAAGUGCCCCGCCUGGGAAGUACGGCCGCAAGGCUAAAACUCAAAGGAAUUGACGGGUCCCCGCACAAGCGGCGGAGCAUGCGGCUUAAUUCGAUGCAACCCGAAGAACCUU
rnacentral:rRNA from 1 species